GAAUUUUGGACAAUGGGGGCAACCCUGAUCCAGCCAUCCCGCGUGUGCGACGAAGGCCUUCGGGUUGUAAAGCACUUUUGGCAGGGAAGAAAAGGCUCUGGCUAAUACCUGGAGCUGCUGACGGUACCUGCAGAAUAAGCACCAGCUCAAUCCGUGCCAGGAGCCGCGGUAAUACGUAGGGUGCAAGCUUUAAUCGGAAUUACUGGGCGUAAAGCGUGCGCAGGCGGUUCGGCAAGAAGGAUGUGAAAUCCCAGGGCUUAACCUUGGAACUGCAUUCUUAACUGCCGGGCUAGAGUAUGUCAGAGGGGGGUAGAAUUCCGCGUGUAGCAGUGAAAUGCGUAGAGAUGCGGAGGAAUACCGAUGGCGAAGGCAGCCCCCUGGGAUAAUACUGACGCUCAUGCACGAAAGCGUGGGGAGCAAAC
rnacentral:rRNA from 1 species